rnacentral:lncRNA from 1 species
CCUUGGCAGUGCUGGGGGGAUGGUUGGACCUCAUGAUCCUGGGGGUCUUUUCCAACCUAAAAAUUUCCACGAUUCUGUUUUCCAGCUCUGUCUGUGCGCGGUGCUGGGAGCUGCCGCAGGAUGUGAACCAAGCGCUUGUUCCCUUUCAGGCUCAGGGGGCUGUUACCCCAAUUAGCACUAAUUGCUGUGGCCCGUGGUGCUGGACCAGCUGCAGCUGUGCUGUUCUCCCCUCAUCCCUGUUCCCUGCUCUGUGCCAUCCCCUCUUCCCAAGCUCUCACUGGGGACAGGCUCCGGCUGCCGCUGGCUGGGAUUCCAGUCACAAACACAAGCUGGCGGCAUGGAUCUGCUCGGAAUUUAUUUUAAACUCGAGGUCGCUGUAUGGGAGAAGUGAUGGUCCAAGUCCCUCCAGCCCCCCAAGGAGGGAAAAGAGAAAAAUAUAGAAUGGGUAAAGGAUGCUCCAUUCAUGGAUUUUGGAGUUCUUUGUCGCUGGAUUCCUCCAGUACCAAGUGAACCUUGGGUUUUUUUUAGGUGGCAUUAACUGAGGCUAAACCAGAUGGGGUUUGGAACAACCUGGUCUAGUGGAAGGUGUCCCUGCCCAUGGCCUUGGAACUGGAUGAGCUUUAAAGUCCUUCCAACCCAAACUAUCCUGGGAUUAUCUCCGUGGGCACUCUCUGGGUCACGGAUUGUCCCCAUGAACGUUCCGGGCUCUUGGUCCCAGAGCCAAGGGGUGACGGGAUGAGCUGUCACAAGUUUUGUCCCUUUAUUGCUCACACACUCACUGGGUGGCUCUGGGGACUUUGGGGUGACUUUGGGUGGCUCCUGGAAUUUCCCCAUAAACAUUUUCAGCAGCACUCACAAUUCUCCUGUGGCCGUGUCCCUCUGGGGCUCGUUGUGGGCAGGGGCUGGGUGCUCUUCCUCACCUUCAUUCCACGGACCCUGACAUUCCAAACUGCAUCUCUGGGUUGAUGUGGAAUCGGGAAGGAAGCUGGGAAUGUUUGAAAACCCUCUGCAGAGUCUCUGAUGUCUCUUCUGUUCCACUCAACAAAGCGCCUCUACACAACGAACAGAUUUUCCUGUAUCAGAAAUUACCUUUACUUAGUUGGCUUUUUGUCUAAAUCCUCCUUCUGAUCUUUAUUUUUUUUUCCCUUCCAUCAUGGAAAGGUGAAUGGAAGUGGCACUUCAGCCACCAAAGCCUUUCCUUUAGAAUCGCUGCUUGUUUUUUGUUUUAAAAAUUUUCCAAGGGGGCUUUGCAGGGGAGGAGGAAGGAGCGGCCGCUUUUCAAGUGACUCUGGGGAAUAAAAGUAUAAAGGACAGGAAUGAUCA